AGAGUUUGAUCCUGGCUCAGAGCGAACGCUGGCGGCAGGCUUAACACAUGCAAGUCGAGCGGAUGUAGCAAUACAUCAGCGGCAGACGGGUGAGUAACACGUGGGAACGUACCUUUUGGUUCGGAACAACACAGGGAAACUUGUGCUAAUACCGGAUAAGCCCUUACGGGGAAAGAUUUAUCGCCGAAAGAUCGGCCCGCGUCUGAUUAGCUAGUUGGUGAGGUAAUGGCUCACCAAGGCGACGAUCAGUAGCUGGUCUGAGAGGAUGAUCAGCCACAUUGGGACUGAGACACGGCCCAAACUCCUACGGGAGGCAGCAGUGGGGAAUAUUGGACAAUGGGCGCAAGCCUGAUCCAGCCAUGCCGCGUGAGUGAUGAAGGCCCUAGGGUUGUAAAGCUCUUUUGUGCGGGAAGAUAAUGACGGUACCGCAAGAAUAAGCCCCGGCUAACUUCGUGCCAGCAGCCGCGGUAAUACGAAGGGGGCUAGCGUUGCUCGGAAUCACUGGGCGUAAAGGGUGCGUAGGCGGGUCUUUAAGUCAGGGGUGAAAUCCUGGAGCUCAACUCCAGAACUGCCUUUGAUACUGAAGAUCUUGAGUUCGGGAGAGGUGAGUGGAACUGCGAGUGUAGAGGUGAAAUUCGUAGAUAUUCGCAAGAACACCAGUGGCGAAGGCGGCUCACUGGCCCGAUACUGACGCUGAGGCACGAAAGCGUGGGGAGCAAACAGGAUUAGAUACCCCCGUAGUCC
rnacentral:rRNA from 1 species